GGAAGGGUGGACAGUGGCUGUCAAGCGGUUUUGAAAACCGUCGCCCCAUUGGGGUUGCAGGUUCGAAUCCUGUCCCUUCCG
rnacentral:tRNA from 1 species